AAGGACCAAAUUUAUGAAUUAAAU
rnacentral:miRNA from 1 species